CUGGGGAUCUGCCCGAUAGAGGGGGAUAACCACUGGAAACGGUGGCUAAUACCGCAUAACGUCGCAAGACCAAAGAGGGGGACCUUCGGGCCUCUCACUAUCAGAUGAACCCAUAUGGGAUUAUCUAGUACGCGGGGUAAUGGCCCACCUACGCGACUAUCCCUAUCUGGUCUGAGAAGAUGACCACCCACACUGGAACUGACACACGGUCCACACUCCUACGGGAGGCAGCAGUGGGGAAUAUUGCACAAUGGGCGCAAGCCUGAUGCACCCAUGCCGCGUGUAUGAAGAAGGCCUUCGGGUUGUAAAGUACUUUCAGCGGGGAAGAAGGCGGUGCGGUUAAUAACCGCGUCUAUUGACGUUACCCGCAGAAGAAGCACCGGCUAACUCCGUGCCAGCAGCCGCGGUAAUACAGAGGGUGCAAGCGUUAAUC
rnacentral:rRNA from 1 species